rnacentral:miRNA from 1 species
AUGGGUUUGCUCUGUGCCAUCCUCACAACAACCUUGCAGUGUAGAGAUGACUUUUCCUACUUCUCUAGGUUGUUGGGGGCUGGGGGGGAAAAAGA